UGAAUACGAGACGCUAAGGCGUCGAAGUAGUGUAUGUCAUACUUCCAAGAAAAGCUUGCACUGUCAUAGAUAAAAAACGCCUGUACCGUAACCGACACAGGUGGGUAGGUAGAGUAUACUAAGGGGCGCGAGAUAACUCUCUCUAAGGAACUCGGCAAAAUAACUCCGUAACUUCGGGAGAAGGAGUGCCUUAUUCGUAAGGUUGCAAUAACAAGAUCCAAGCAACUGUUUAUCAAAAACACAGGUCUCCGCUAAGUCGUAAGACGAUGUAUGGGGGCUGACGCCUGCCCAGUGCCAGAAGGUUAAAGAAGUUGGUUAGCAAUUGCGAAGCUGAUAACUGAAGCCCUGGUGAACGGCGGCCGUAACAAUAACGGUCCUAAGGUAGCGAAAUUCCUUGUCGGGUAAGUUCCGACCCGCACGAAAGGCGUAAUGAUUUGGAUACUGUCUCGGAGAGGGGCUCGGUGAAAUAGACUUGUCUGUGAAGAUGCGGACUACCUGCACCUGGACAGAAAGACCCUAUGAAGCUUUACCGUAACUUGAAAUUGAAAUUGGACUUUAUUCGCGCAGUAUAGGUGGGAGGCGUUGAUUAUAAUCUUGUGGGAUUAUUGGAGCCAUCAGUGAGAUACCACUCUUGUAAUGUUAGAUUUCUAACUUUGAAUCAUUAUCUGGUCAAAGAACAGUUUCAGGCGGGCAGUUUGACUGGGGCGGUCGCCUCCUAAACGGUAACGGAGGCGUACAAAGGUUUCCUCUGAACGGUUAGAAAUCGUAUCUAGAGUGUAAAGGCAUAAGGAAGCUUAACUGUGAGACCUACAAGUCGAGCAGGGACGAAAGUCGGUCUUAGUGAUCUGACGGUACUGAGUGGAAAGGCCGUCACUCAACGGAUAAAAGUUACUCUAAGGAUAACAGGCUGAUCUCCCCCAAGAGUUCACAUCGACGGGGAGGUUUGGCACCUCGAUGUCGGCUCAUCGCAUCCUGGGGCGGUAGUACGUCCCAAGGGUUGGGCUGUUCGCCCAUGAAAGCGGUACGCGAGCUGGGUUCAGAACGUCGUGAGACAGUUCGGUCCAUAUCCGGUGUAGGCGUUAGAAUAUUGAGAGGAGCCUUCUUUAGUACGAGAGGACCGAGAAGGACAUACCUCUGGUGUACCAGUUAUCGUGCCAACGGUAAACGCUGGGUAGCUAUGUAUGGAGUGGAUAACCGCUGAAAGCAUCUAAGUGGGAAGCCCACCUCAAGAUAAG
rnacentral:rRNA from 1 species